AUCCUUUUGUAGUUCAUAGGUGUGAUUGUUGGGUUUUCGUGAUCAUUUGUGAGAUGUACCUCUUUUAAACCAUGUUACAACAUGGGCACAUUACCUGUCUGAUG